CCUACGGGAGGCAGCAGUGGGGAAUCUUGCGCAAUGGCCGAGAGGCUGACGCAGCGACGCCGCGUGGGGGAUGAAGCAUUUCGGUGUGUAAACCCCUGUUGCUCGGGACGAACGAUCCUUUUCGAGGGAUGUGACGGUACCGAGUGAGGAAGCACCGGCUAACUCCGUGCCAGCAGCCGCGGUAAUACGGAGGGUGCGAGCGUUGUCCGGAAUCACUGGGCGUAAAGGGCGCGUAGGUGGUUGGAUGCGCCGGUGGUGAAAGCGCAGGGCUCAACCCUGCGUCGGCCAUCGGGACGGUCCGACUGGAGCACUGUAGAGGCAGGUGGAAUUCCGGGUGUAGCGGUGGAAUGCGUAGAGAUCCGGAAGAACACCGGUGGCGAAGGCGGCCUGCUGGGCAGUUGCUGACACUGAGGCGCGACAGCGUGGGGAGCAAACAGGAUUAGGAUACCCUGGUAGUCCACGCCGUAAACCGAUGGGCACUAGGUGCUUGGGGGAGCGACCCCCUGAGUGCCGACGCUAACGCAUUAAGUGCCCCGCCUGGGAGUACGACCGCAAGUUGAAACUACAGAAUUGACGGCUGAGACGNGCGAGACGACGACGAGGAGAGG
rnacentral:rRNA from 1 species